UGAGGGAAAGUUGCAAAGAACUUUGAAGAGAGAGUUCAAGAGUACGUGAAACUGCUCGGAAGGAAACGGGUGGAUCUUCGAAGUCCGAGCGGAGCGGGAUUCAGUGGCGGGCCGCGAGGGGUGUCCGAGCCUCGUAUUCCUCUCGGGGAAACGAGUGACGGGCACCGUUCUCCGGCCAGUCGCGCACUUCUCGCUCCCGACGGACGCCGCAGCCGGUCACGCGUCGGCAGUGAGGACUGACCGGGCGAUGGCGUGGGCGUCGACCUUGCGUCGGCGUCCCGAUUCUGUACCGGUCGCCGUCCCGGUGCGACGCGGGUCCGAGGGAAGAGCACGUCUCGCACGUGCGUGCCGUGGUCUCGCCAGAAAUGGAAGGAGCGGGGGAGCGGUCCGGUUCUACCGGGUCGGCCGGCCAGCUGUGGGGUGGUCGGUCGGCGAGUGGGGUUCCGGAAGAUCGCGACCCACCCGCUGAUUAGCGAACCGUCGGCUUGCGGCGAGUAGGUCGGUAACCCACCCGACCCGUCUUGAAACACGGACCAAGGAGUCUGACUUGUGCGCGAGUCAGUGGGACUCGAAUAAGCCCACGGGCGUAAUGAAAGUGAAUGGACGUUUAGUUCGUCGUGAUCCCGCAUCUCCGGAUCGGGCGCAGCGACGGUCCGCCCGCGGUCCGGUUCGUCCGGACGCGGUCGGUGCUGGAGCGCACAGGUUGGGACCCGAAAGAUGGUGAACUAUGCCCGGGCAGGUCGAAGCUAGAGGAAACUCUGGUGGAGGACCGCAGCGGUUCUGACGUGCAAAUCGAUCGUCGAACCU
rnacentral:rRNA from 1 species